UUACUUGGAUAACUGUGGUAAUUCUAGAGCUAAUACAUGCACCGAAGUUGUUCCUCACGGAGCAAUGCAUUUAUUUGAGCAAAACCAGGCGGCUUCGGCCGUUUCUGUUGAAUCAGAAUAACUAAGCUGAUCGCAUGGGCUUGUCCCGGCGACGUGUCUUUCAAGUGUCUGCCUUAUCAACUUUCGAUGGUAGUGUACGUGACUACCAUGGUGUUGACGGGUAACGGAGGAUAAGGGUUCGACUCCGGAGAAGGGGCCUGAGAAAUGGCCACUACGUCUAAGGAUGGCAGCAGGCGCGCAAAUUACCCACUCUCGGUUCGAGGAGGUAGUGACGAAAAAUAACAAGGCCGUUCUCUUUGAGGCCGGCCAUUGGAAUGGGUACAACUUAAACCCUUUAACGAGUAUCAAUGAGAGGGCAAGUCUGGUGCCAGCAGCCGCGGUAAUUCCAGCUCUCAAAAUGCAUAGAACCAUUGCUGCGGUUAAAAAGCUCGUAGUUGGAUCUGUGCCGGCGACGUGGUCCGCCCUAACGGGAGGUACUGCGCUCGUCGGCUUUGGGCCGGUUUUCGGUCGGUCGCCUUAACUGGCGGCCGCUCGUGGCUGGCUGGUUUACUUUGAGCAAAUCAGAGUGCUCAGCACAGGCGUCUCGCCGGAAUGUUCGUGCAUGGAAUAAUAGAAAAGGAUUUCGGUCCUCUUUUAUUGGUUUUGUGGACUGAGAUAAUGGUUAA
rnacentral:rRNA from 1 species